GACGAACGCUGGCGGCGUGCUUAACACAUGCAAGUCGAACGGAAAGGCCCUGCUUGCAGGGUACUCGAGUGGCGAACGGGUGAGUAACACGUGGGUGAUCUGCCCUGCACUUCGGGUUAAGCCUGGGAAACUGGGUCUAAUACCGGAUAGGUGCCAUUUUUAGUGUGAUGGUUGGAAAGUUUUUUCGGUGUAGGAUGAGCUCGCGGCCUAUCAGCUUGUUGGUGGGGUAAUGGCCUACCAAGGCGGCGACGGGUAGCCGGACUGAGAGGGUGGAAGGCCACAUUGGGACUGAGAGACGGCCCAGACGCCGACUGGAGGCAGCAGGGGGGAAUAUUGAACAAUGAGCGCAAGCCUGAUGCAGCGAGGCCGCGUGGGGGAUGACGGCCUUCGGGUUGAAAACUCCUUUCGCUAGGGACGAAGCUUUUUGUGACGGUACCUAGAUAAGAAGCACCGGCUAACUACGUG
rnacentral:rRNA from 1 species